rnacentral:tRNA from 1 species
UGUAGCUCAGUGGCAGAGUGCUUGCCUAGCAUGCAUGAGGCCUUGGUUUCAAAUCCAACGCA